AUUCGUGGAGCAAGACCAGGACAUGCAAGAGUCCUAAACACUCUAAUAAGACGUUCAAAUCGUCUCACUAAUA
rnacentral:tRNA from 1 species